AUUUGACCCAGCCAUCCCAUUACUGGGUAUAUACCCAAAGGAUUAUAAAUCAUGCUGCUAUAAAGACACAUGCACACGUAUGUUUAUCGCGGCUCUAUUCACAAUAGCAAAGACUUGGAACCAACCCAAAUGUCCAACAAUGAUAGACUGGAUUAAGAAAAUGUGGCGCAUAUACACCAUGGAAUACUAUGCAGCCAUAAAAAAUGAUGAGUUCAUGUCCUUUGUAGGGACAUGGAUGAAAUUGGAAAUGAUCAUUCUCAGUAAACUAUCGCAAGAACAAAAAACCAAACACCGCAUAUUCUCACUCAUAGGUGGGAACUGAACAAUGAGAACACGUGGACACAGGAAGGGGAACCUCACACUCUGGGGACUGCUGUGGGGUGGGGGGAGGGGGGACUAAUAGCAUUAGGAGAUAUACCUAAUGCUAAAUGACGAGUUAAUGGGUGCAGCACCCCAGCAUGGCACAUGUAUACACAUGUAACUAACCUGCACAUUGUGCACAUGUACCCUGAAACUUAAAGUAUAAUAAUAAAAAACAAAACAAAACAAAACAAGGGAAGUGGUGUCCUCUCUGAGCGUUUUCUUUGGAAAACUUGUCAUUGUAAAUCUUCCUCUGCCCCUUUGAGGGGCAUGCAAUGCUUUUUGACAACUAAAUAAGCCUCUUGCCAGCUUUGCAACCCAGGACUGUGUUCCUGAAGGACCUGGGAGCCCGUCUUUGAAACGUCAUCAUCAGAGCAGCCAGGGCCCUAUCUGCCAGUCUCUGUGGGAUGGUGGGGGCCUAACAUCUGCUGUGAGUAGUAAAUCUACCUCCUGUCACGAAGGUAAGAGUUUAUUUUCCUUUGUAACAAGGUAAUUAGCAAACGCAGGUGGUCAGGUAAAUUGAGGUUGAAUCUCCAAUAAAUGGGUGUGGCCAAAGGUGCUGGGAAGUCCACUGAUCUGAGGACUAGGCAUUACUCUUCUUGAGAAUGCGUGCAGUGAACAAUGGGUUGGACCCACUGGCUAGAUAAGCGUGAGAUUUCUGUCUUUGCAGCAUCUUAGCGGAUCAUUGUCUGUGAUGCACAUCUCACUCUGAGUUAAUGCCUCUUCAAUGAUGAAAGUGUUUUCUUCCUCUUCUACCUCUGCAGAGAGGCUUGCUGGGAUAGAUUUUGUUUGUAAUUCUAUUUCCCCACCGCCAGAGGCCGGACUUUGGGGGUCAGGCAGCUGAGAAGGAGUUUAGAACCCAUGCCUAGGCCUUCCACACUCUACAGGCACCCAGUUCAUCCAUCAGUAGCAGAACUUAGAGUCUUCCUGGGACUCCAUACUGCCUGGAGAGAGGAAUUCGUUCUCUUUCAUUGCUGACAUUCCUGGGUGAAUGCCUGUGGCAGUUAUACUUUACCCAUCCCAUUUUGUACCUCCUUCCACUCCAGGGGACCCCAAGGGGCCUGGCUCCACUUGCCCAGUGCACCUCCGAAGAAGGGAGACUGGGAAAUGAGGAUCCUGCCAGGGGGCCAGGUGUUGGACAAGGUGCAUGUGAAUGUGGAGGAGGAAGACGGAGCCCUCCCAAGAACCUGACAGGGUCAGGGAUGAGGUUGCUGCAAGAACUAAAUGAGUUCCUAGAAGUGAAAGACACUUAGAACCAGGAUCCAGAGGCUUGCGAAGGGUGAGCUGGAGUAGCCAUGGUAAGUAUGGAGAGGGAGGUGAACUGAGGAU
rnacentral:lncRNA from 10 species